rnacentral:misc_RNA from 1 species
UACGUCACCCGCUUUACCGCACAUGUCGAGCCCAGGUAAGGUUCUUCGCGUUGCAUCGAAUUGAGCCACACGCUCCGCCGCUUGUGCGGGCCCCCGUCAAUUCCUUUGAGUUUUAGCCUUGCGGCCGUACUCCCCAGGCGGGAUGCUUAAUGCGUUAGCUGCGCCACUGACAGGCAAGCCUGCCAACGGCUAGCAUCCAUCGUUUACGGCGUGGACUAC